AGGCCCUAGAAACUACAGCUGCCACUAAGAAAGCGAUUUCUGAUUUCUGAGGAGAUACUUAAGCAGAUUUGAGGAGUUUAGCAAAAAUGAGAAUAGUGAUGAAGAAAACCAUACCAAUCAGUCAAAUGGGGAAAAAAGAGUGUGGAGCUUGGUUGGCUGGAAAUCAAGCUGUAAGUGCAAACAUUAACAAAUCCCAUUAAAAUGACUCCAACCAAUUCUGAAAUUUCAGGAGAUUCAAAGGGUAUGGUCAAAGCAACUGAACCCAUACAAGGAAAAGGCAAAUAAUUCCAGGGGUCCAAACCAAUAUGAUUUAUAAAUUUUAUGUUUCGGUUCACAUAUCAUGGAUGCCUUUCCAAUGCUUGAUUUAGUUAAUAGAUUGUUUAGCAAUGCAGAAAAUAUUUUGGUUCUUUUAUAUUUUCAAUGUGAUGUUCUCUGCCAUCCCUGAUAAUUAUGCAUGUUGACCCCCUGUUUCUUACUGUUCACAUCCAAAAUCUUCAUGUAACAUAGCAAUUUCUCAAAUUAUAAUAUAUAAUGUUUUAUUGA